rnacentral:lncRNA from 1 species
GGUGCUGAGCAAGGCAAUGGGAAGGGGGCUAGUGGGUUGGGAAUGUGGUGUCUUGAGACACACACUGAGAUGUACUUUCAAAUGAAGUCUGGAACUGCAGAUAUAUUUAGCAAGCUGAGACUGUGGCGAGGGCAGGACGUCAUAGAGAAAAUACAUGGAAUAAAAUGAGAAAAAGAGAAGUGGGGAAAGUGAAAGGGCAGAAAACUCUAAGAAAUUUCUGACAUGCAAGGAAAAGAUGAAACAAAAAGAGUCAAAUAUGUAAGAGCAGAAAGCUGUCCUUUAAGUUCUGAGAACUAAGAGGAGUGGAAUGACCUAAAAAGCGAGUCGUGGGAGCAGAAGUAAGCUGCAGGGACCCAGGAGGAGCAACAGGAGGGUGGAGGUGGCAGCCUUCCUUUGUCUCAUCAAAAGAAUUGUUAAACAGAGGUUCCCAGAAAGUCUGUGCACAGUGGAGAUGCCGAAUACCAUAAAGUACUGAAAGAGGAAGCAUCAGAUAGUAGAGAGAACAAAGUUGGAAUGACCUGGCUUCAAAUCCUGAGUGGCUCCUUUGCUAGCCGUGUGACUGAGCACAUUACUCAGCCUUUGCAAGAGUCAGUUUCCCUGUGGAUAUCCUCAGAACAGAAUAUUCCUCCCAAGUUUAUGGGAAGAUUAAAUAAAGGUACAUACAGUGCCUGCUAUGG